rnacentral:lncRNA from 10 species
GGAGCGUCCGGGACGCGGCGGGACUCGAGUGUUUCGGAAAAGGAGCGUCUCCCCAGGCGGUGGUUGUCUUCACUAGCGAUGGGGUAAAAGGAGGACGCAAUACCUGGUUCAACUUGAGCAGGUACAUUUUGACCAUAUUCCAGGUGUCAUGUGAAGAUUUAAGCCUCUUUCCAACCCCCACUCCCCCCGAAUCUACUGCAUCCUUUUUGGAGUCUUCAUUCUUAGGCACAUUUUGUCAAGACUUAAAACCUACCAAAGAAAAGAUACACUGAGGUCAGAUCCAAUCCCACUGGGGGCCAGCGAGUGAAAUGCGACGGUUUCCUUUUAUAAUCUCUGUUUUUCAUAAUGAUGACAUUAAAAAUCUUGAGGUUUCCCAGUAGAUAUUUAAGCUGAAAGCAACAUUGUGCUUGUCUUCAGAGACCAAGACUUUCUGGCUCUUGUCUUGGAAUAUUUCGCAAAGUCAUAGGCAAAACACACACAAACAAACAGAACCAAAACACAGCAGACCACUCACGGGGGACCGAACCAGGCAGUUAGCCCAGCAUCCCCCUGCUGCGGGAGGAGGGAGCUUGGAUACUCCUCUCUGGAGAAUCCUGCUCUGGAAAUCCCCACACCCCAAAAUGCAAUGUAGAGGGGCAGUGAGUCAGCACCUCACCCCAAAUGAAUGGCCGUUCUGCUCAGCAGGCUCAACGCUUAGAUCCCCAGAUCCAGUUUCUCUUUGCUUUCUGUAAUUGGAAGAAUGGAAUAGGAUUGCUGCUAGAAAUCUUUGAGGUCACUGGUUUGAAAGUGGGAUUAUGAGCAUGAAUUUUUGUUGUUGUUGUUUGUUUGUUUUCAGACGGAGUCUCGCUAUGUUGCCCAGGCUGGGGUGCAGUGGCGUGAUCUCUGCUCACUGCAAGCUCCGCCUCCCGGGUUCACGCCAUUCUCCUGCCUCAGCCUCCCGAGUAGCUGGGACCACAGGCGCCCGCCACCACGCCCGGCUGAUUUUUUUUAUUUUUAGUAGAGACGGGGUUUCACCGUGUUAGCCAGGAUGAUCUCAAUCUCCUGACCUCGUGAUCCGCCCGCCUGGGCCUCCCAAAGUGCUGGGAUUACAGGUGUGAGCCACCGCGCCUGGCCGAGCAUGUUAAUUUAAGCAAAUGAAUGUCCCUGGGAAUGAUCUUCAAGGAGAAUUAAAGUGGGAUAGAGAAGUCAUCUAUCUGCACCUGUGUCUGAACCAGAAUGACGAGGCACUUCCAUGUCAGCUAGUUACUGGAGCAGGCGGAGUAAGGAGUACCCCUGGGCUUCUGCCCCGAAACCACCACGGCUACUUCAAAACAAUAUUACAUUAAUUUUCCUGCUUGUUCUUGAGAAGCACUGGUUUGAAAAAUUGGAUGGGGUGAUACAUGUUUUAAUCAGUAUUUACAAGGCUCCUUAAUCACUUCAUCAGACAAUUCAUUGAGCACCUACUAUGUGCCAGGCAGUGUAAUUCAUUGAGCACCUGCUGUGUGCCAGGCAGUGUCUGAGGCACUUCUAGCUAUUAUUUCCUAAGGGUUCCAGCAGCCCAUGGAUAAACUUCAAAGAGUGUAAGCUCCUAAAAAUUGUUCGUAUUUUCUGCACAUUUUUGUAGUUUUGGAGAAGAGAGUUAAUGGAGUUCUUGCCAUUCUCAGAAUUAUUUGAUCCCUUUAGGAAUGAGCAUCUCUAGCCUCUGCCUGUUCAUCUGGGACAAUCUGCACCUGGGCGUGGACCUGCUGCUUCAGAUCAGUAGGUAUCAGAAUGAACUCAGUUGGAUGGGGCAGUUCAGGACCCCUGGCCUCCUUUUAGUCUGGACCCCACUCUCAUUCCUCAUAUUCUCAAUUCACUCUUUCUACUGAGUUACUAUCCUAGUAAUGACAAUGCCUCCUAUCAUCUAGAGACUUGGUUUGAUACAAUGCAUUCACAUACAACUGCUCGUUUUGAUUUCUAUAACUGGGGAAUACAGAAAGCAAAUAUGCGGUGCAAUGGAGGAUGUCUCCAUUACCCCAGAUAACUCCAAAAUUCUUCACCUAGUUACCAGUGCAGGAAAUUCGUUCGAAGGCAGAAAUGGAAAAUGAAUAAGAAACAAUUUGGAUGUGUUCCAAAAAUGGAGAGUUGUCAGGCACUAUAUCAUACAACCUGAAAUAUCAAUGGUGAAGUAGACAGUUCACCUCCACAGGGGGCAGGAGGUUGGACCCAGGGCAAUGGAUGUUUUAUAUGGAUGGUUAACCGGUCUGUGGCCAUGAGGUGGAAAGCUGUGUACACCUGUGAAGCCAUCAUCACAAUCAAGUUAGGGAACAUAUCCAUCACCCAAAAAAGUGUUCUCAUGCCCUUUGGUAAUUCCUCCCUCCUAAAUGUCCCCACCCUACCCCACAUCCCAGUUUCUAUGCAAAAACCGCUGACCAACUUUCUAUCACUAUAGAUUUGUUUGUAUUUUCUAGACUUUUAUAUAAAAAGAAUUAUACUGUAUGUACACUUUUUUGUCUGUUUUUUUCACUUAACAUAUUUAUUUUCAGAAUCAUCUAUCUUGUUGCAGGUGUAUUCCUUUUUAUUGCUCAGUAGUAUUCCACUGUAUGGAUAUAACACAAUUUGUUUAUCAUUCACCUGUUGAGGGACAUUAUACUUGCUUCUAAAUUUUUACUAUCACAAAUAAAGCUGCUGUAGGCAUUCAUGUGUGUGUCCAUCGUGUGGACAUUGUGUGCACACGUGCUUCCAUUUCUCUUGGGGAAAUAUCUAGGAGCAGAGUGUCUGGAUCCCAUAGUAGGUAUUUGUUUAACUUUUUAAACUGUUUUUCAAAGUGGUUAUACUGUUUUUCAUUUUCACCAUCAAUGCAUGAGGGUCCCAGUUGCUCCACAUCCCCACCCAUACUUUCUGUGGUCACUUUAAAAAUUUUUAGCCGCCCCGUCCGGGAGGGAGGUGGGGGGGUCAGCCCCCCGCCCGGCCAGCCGCCCCGUCCGGGAGGUGAGGGGCACCUCUGCCCGGCCGCCCCUACUGGGAAGUGAGGAGGCCCUCUGCCCGACCACCACCCCGUCUGGGAGGUGUACCCAACAGCUCAUUGAGAACGGGCCAUGAUGACAAUGGCGGUUUUGGGGAAUAGAAAGGGGGGAAAGGUGGGGAAAAGAUUGAGAAAUCGGAUGGUUGCCGUGUCUGUGUAGAAAGAGGUAGACAUGGGAGACUUUUCAUUUUGUUCUGUACUAAGAAAAAUUCUUCUGCCUUGGGAUCCUGUUGAUCUGUGACCUUACCCCCAACCCUGUGCUCUCUGAAACAUGUGCUGUGUCCACUCAGGGUUAAAUGGAUUAAGGGCGGUGCAAGAUGUGCUUUGUUAAACAGAUGCUUGAAGGCAGCAUGCUUGUUAAGAGUCAUCACCACUCCCUAAUCUCAAGUAUCCAGGGACACAAACACUGCGGAAGGCCGCAGGGUCCUCUGCCUAGGAAAACCAGAGACCUUUGUUCACUUGUUUAUCUGCUGACCUUCCCUCCACUAUUGUCCUGUGACCCUGCCAAAUCCCCCUCUGCGAGAAACACCCAAGAAUGAUCAAUAAAAAAAUAAAAAUAAAAAAAGAAACCCUACACUCCACUGAAAAAAAAAAUUUUACUCACUCUAAUAUGUAUAUAAUGGUAUUUCAUUGUAGUUUAAAUUUGCAUUUUUCAAAUAACUAGUGAUGUUGAACAAAUUUUAUUGUACUUAUUGCCAUCCAGAUAUCUUCUUUGGUGAAAUGUCUGUUUCAGUUUUACUUUCUUUCUUUUCCUUUACUUGGUGAUAUGGUUUGGCUGUGUCCCCACCGAAAUCUCAUCUUGACUUCCCACAUGUUAUGGGAAGGACCUGGUGAGAGGUAAUUGAAUCAUGGGGGCAAGUCUUUCCCAUGCUGUUGUCAUGAUAGUGAAUAAGUCUUACAAGAUCUGAUGGUUUUAAAAAGAGGAAUUCCCCUGCACAAGCUCUCUGUCUUUGCUUUCUGCCAUCUGUGUAAGACGUGACUUGCUCCUCCUUACCUUCUGCCAUGAUUGUGAGGCUUCCCCAGCCACGUGGAACUGUGAGUCCAGUUAAACCUCUUUCCUUUGUAAACUGCCCAGUCUCAGGUAUGUCUUUAUCGGCAGCGUGAAAAUUGACUAAUACACUUGGGAUGUUUGGUUUUCCAAUUGUUGAGCUGUUUGUUGAGUUUUAAGAGUUCUAUAACUAUUCUAGAAGCAAGUCCAUUAUCAGAUGUGUGGUUUGCAAAUAUUUAUUUCCAGUCUGCGGCUUGUCUUUUCAUUCUAUUAAAUGUGUCUUUAGCCAGGCAUGGUAGUGGGUGCCUGUAGCUUCAGCUACUUGAGAGGCUGAGGCAGGAGGAUUUCUUGAGCCCAGGAGUUUAAGCCUGGUCUGCACAAUAGAGCAAGACUCUGUCUCCAAGAUAAAAAGAAAUUAAAGUGUCUUUCAAAGAUCAGAAUUCUUAAUUUUGAAGUGCAGCUUAUUUUCUUUAAUGGAUUCUGCUUUUGGUGUCACAUUUGCCUAACUCAAGGUCACAAAGAUUUUAUUACAGAAGUUCUGUAGAUUUCAGUUUUACAUUUAAGAUGGUGAUCCAUUUUGAAUGAGUUUUUAUAAAUGCUGAAGUAUGAAACAAAGUGUGUAUCUGUACGUAUGUGCCUAGGGAAAUGCAAUCAUCCCAGCACUGUUAAAAAGACUAUUCUUUCUCCACUGACUUGCCUUUGCACCUUUGUCAAUAACCAAUUGAUAAUAUAUGUGCAAAUCUAUUUGUAGACUCUGUUCUGUCCCAUUUAUUUGUUUGUCUCUUUUUAAAGUUAAUACCACACUGUCUUGACUAUAGUAGAUUCAUAACAAGAAUUGAAGUCAGGUAAUGUAAAUACUCAGGUAGUGUAAAUACUCAAACGUUCUUCUUUCUCAAAGUGUGCAGUUGUUUGGUUAUUCUGUUUUCUUUGCAUCUACAUAUGAAUAUUAGAAUCAGCUGGUCAUUCUUUACAAAAAGCCUGCCAAGAUUUUAAUUGAGAUUGCAUUAAAUCUAUAGGUCAAUUUUUAGGCAAUGAACAGUUUGACAGUAUUGAGGCUUCUGAUAUGUGAACGCGGUAUAUCUUUCAUUUAUUUAAGUCUUCUUAAAUUAUCUCCACAGUCUUUCAUAGUAUUCAAUGUACAGGCCUGAUAUAUAUGUUAUUAGAUUUGUUUCUAAAUAUUUCACUUUCUUUGUCCUAUUGUAAAUGGCAUUAUUUAUUUAUUUAUUUAUUGAGACAAGAUCUCACUCUGUCACUGAGGCUGCAGUGCAGUGACGCAAUCUCAGCCCACUGCAACCUCUGCCCCCCAGACUCAAGUGAUCCUGCCACGUAGCUGGGACUACAGGCAUGCGCCACCAUGCCUGGCUAAUUUUUUGUAUUUUUUGUAGAGAUGGGCUUUUGCCGUGUUGUUCAGGCUGGUCUUGAAUUCCUGGCCUCAAGCAACCCACCCCCCUUAGCUUCCCAAACUGCUGGGAUGACAAGUGUGAGCCACUACAUCUGGCCUUUGGCAUUGUUUUUCAUUUCAAUCUCUAAUUGUUUAAACAUUUGAUUUUUGUGUAUUUAUCUUGUAUCACACAACUUUGCUUAAUUCAAUUAUUCUGAUUUUUUUGUAGCUUCAGUAGAAUUUUUCUUACAUAGAUAAUCAUGCUGUUUGUAAAUAUAGACACUUUUACUUCCUCCUUUCAAAUCUGGGUGCUAUUUAAUUCUUUUCUGUCUGAUUGCACUGCCUAAUAACCUCCCAUGCAAUGUUGACUAGAAAUGGAGACAGUGUGUACCCUUGUGUUGUUCCUGAUCCUAUGUGAAAAUAAUCCAGUCUUUCACCAUUAAAUAUAAUGUUAGCUGUAGGCUUUUCAUAGAUUCUCUUUAUCAGGUUGAGGAAGUUCUCUUCUAUUUCUAGCUUCCUGCAAAUUAUGUUUUAAAAAUUAGGAAUGUGUAUUAAAUAUUAUCAAAGUUUUCUUCUGCAUCUAUUCUAUUGAGAUGAUCAUAUGGGUUUUUUUAUUCAUUAAUAUGUGAAUUAUCUUGAUUGAUUUUUGAAUGUUAAAUCAAUCUUGUGUCCCUGAAAUAAUCCUAACCCCACUUGGUCAUGAUAUAUCAUAGUUUUAAAUUAUUGAUGAAUUCAAUUUGCAAAAACAUGUUAAGAAUAUUUACAUUGAUGUUUAUGAGGGUACUGAUCUGUUGUUUUCUUUCUUUGUCUGGUUUGAUAUCUAAGAAAUGUUGGCCUCAUAGAAUUGUUAAGUGUUUCUUCCGCUUUAAUUUUAUGGAAGUGUUUGUGUAGAAUUGGUCUUAUUUCUUCCUUAGAUGAUUGGCAAAAAUCACAAUGAUGCCAUCAGGACCUAUAGUUUUCUUUGUGGGGAGGUUUUUACCUAUAAAUGUAAUUUCUUUAAUAUAUAUUCUUUAAGGCUGGGUACGGUGGCUCACGCCUGUAAUCC